rnacentral:rRNA from 1 species
AUUGAACGCUGGCGGCAGGCUUAACACAUGCAAGUCGAGCGAGCGGCGGACGGGUGAGUAAUGUCUGGGAAACUGCCUGAUGGAGGGGGAUAACUACUGGAAACGGUAGCUAAUACCGCAUACCAUCAGAUGUGCCCAGAUGGGAUUAGCUAGUAGGUGGGGUAAUGGCUCACCUAGGCGACGAUCCCUAGCUGGUCUGAGAGGAUGACACGCCACCUUGGAACUGAGACACGGUCCAGACUCCUACGGGAGGCAGCAGUGGGGAUUAUUGCACAAGGGGCGAAAGCCUGAUGCAGCCAUGCCGCGUGUGUGAAGAAGGCCUUCGUGUUGUAAAGCACUUUCAGCGAGGGGGCGUUACUUGCAGAAGAAGCACCGGCUAACUCCGUGCCAGCAGCCGCGGUAAUAC